UACGAAGGGGGCAAGCGUUGUUCGGAAUUACUGGGCGUAAAGGGCGCGCAGGCGGCCCUUGAAGUCAGGUGUGAAAGCCCCGGGCUCAACCUGGGAAUUGCACUUGAUACUCCGAGGGCUUGAGUUCGGGAGAGGAGAGUGGAAUUCCCGAGUGUAGAGGUGAAAUUCGAUAGAUAUUGGGAAGAACACCGGUGGCGAAGGCGGCUCUCGUGGACCGA
rnacentral:rRNA from 1 species